rnacentral:rRNA from 1 species
CCUGGCUCAGGAUGAACGCUGGCGGCGUGCUUAACACAUGCAAGUCGAACGAUGAAGCUGGAGCUUGCUCUGGUGGAUUAGUGGCGAACGGGUGAGUAACACGUGAGUAACCUGCCCUUGACUCUGGAAUAAGCGUUGGAAACGACGUCUAAUACCGGAUACGAGCUUCCGCCGCAUGGUGAGGAGCUGGAAAGAAUUUCGGUCAAGGAUGGACUCGCGGCCUAUCAGGUAGUUGGUGAGGUAAUGGCUCACCAAGCCUACGACGGGUAGCCGGCCUGAGAGGGUGACCGGCCACACUGGAACUGAGACACGGUCCAGACUCCUACGGGAGGCAGCAGUGGGGAAUAUUGCACAAUGGGCGCAAGCCUGAUGCAGCAACGCCGCGUGAGGGACGACGGCCUUCGGGUUGUAAACCUCUUUUAGUAGGGAAGAAGCGAAAGUGACGGU